UGGGGAAUAUUGGGCAAUGGGCGCAAGCCUGACCCAGCGACGCCGCGUGGGGGAAGAAGGUUUUCGGAUCGUAAACCCCUGUCAGGAGGGAAGAAGUGCUCUACUUUGAACAGAGGUAGGGUUUGACGGUACCUCCAGAGGAAGCACCGGCCAACUCCGUGCCAGCAGCCGCGGUAACACGGAGGGUGCAAGCGUUAUUCGGAAUUACUGGGCGUAAAGCGCGCGUAGGCGGCGAGGCAAGUCAGAUGUGAAAGCCCUCGGCUCAACCGAGGAACUGCAUUUGAAACUGCCUGGCUAGAGUUCGGGAGAGGGUGGCGGAAUUCCCGGUGUAGGAGUGAAAUCCGUAGAUAUCGGGAGGAACACCAGAGGCGAAGGCGGCCACCUGGACCGAAACUGACGCUGAGGUGCGAAAGCGUGGGUAGCAAACA
rnacentral:rRNA from 1 species